rnacentral:rRNA from 1 species
AGAGUUUGAUCCUGGCUCAGGAUGAACGCUAGCUACAGGCUUAACACAUGCAAGUCGAGGGGAAACGACAUCGAAAGCUUGCUUUUGAUGGGCGUCGACCGGCGCACGGGUGGGUAACGCGUAUCCAACCUGCCCAUCACUUGGGGAUAACCUUGCGAAAGUAAGACUAAUACCCAAUGACGUCUCUAGAAGACAUCUGAAAGAGAUUAAAGAUUUAUCGGUGAUGGAUGGGGAUGCGUCUGAUUAGCUUGUUGGCGGGGUAACGGGCCACCAAGGCGACGAUCAGUAGGGGUUCGUGAGAGGAAGGUCCCCCACCAUUGGAACUGAGACACGGUCCAAACUCCUACCGGAGGCA